rnacentral:rRNA from 1 species
UGGGGAAUUGUUCGCAAUGGGCGCAAGCCUGACGACGCAACGCCGCGUGGAGGAUGAAGACCUUCGGGUCGUAAACUCCUUUCGAUCGAGACGAAUGGUUUCCGGGUGAACAAUCCGGAAAAAUGACGGUACCGAGAGAAGAAGCCCCGGCUAACUCCGUGCCAGCAGCCGCGGUAAUACGGGGGGGGCAAGCGUUGUUCGGAAUUACUGGGCGUAAAGGGCUCGUAGGUGGCCAACUAAGUCAGACGUGAAAUCCCUCGGCUUAACCGGGGAACUGCGUCUGAUACUGGAUGGCUUGAGUUUGGGAGAGGGAUGCGGAAUUCCAGGUGUAGCGGUGAAAUGCGUAGAUAUCUGGAGGAACACCGGUGGCGAAGGCGGCAUCCUGGACCAACACUGACACUGAGGAGCGAAAGCCAGGGGAGCAAACGGGAUUAGAUACCCCCGUAGUCC